GAUUUCAAUCUACUCCAGCCCCAACCAUGUACAGCUGAACCAGCUGAUCAGGGUCUUCAGGAGAACCACAGACUUCCAAGCAGGCGUGUGGACGGGUUGGAGCUGAACUCUGUCGGAUGUUGGUCCUUCAGGACACCACUGCUCUAAACAAAGAGCCACCAGGUCGCUGCAUCUUUUGUAAUAUGAUGGAACAAAAAGUAGGCUGGCCACAGCAUCUGAAAUGGAAACAUCUAUUAAAAUGCCUCCGCAGUAUAAGACACUUGGGAUGGUGGAAGGAGCAGAAGAACAGUGAUCAGGCAGAGUUCUACUGUUGCCCCUUAGGGAACUGAUUUAUGAUCUACUUAACAUUCUGAUUUAGUAAUAAUUGAUCAUUGCUCUGUCCUAUAAAAUUAUUUAAU